rnacentral:piRNA from 1 species
UGGUAAAAAGAUUAAAAUCUGACCAUGGGA